AUGAAAGUCAAUUUCAAAUCGAACAAGAAUAUACUGCCUAGUUCCUAGAUUUCAUGUAAGUUGUUAAAACCAUCUAACCCCACUAAUAUUACAUGAUAGAUAUGCUUUAUGAUAAAUUACGGGCCAAUUUUUUUUUUUUUCUAAAAUGAAUAAAACAAAAGUUUUGAUGAUGGGUCAAUUUGCGAUGAAGAUUGGUAGAGCCUAAUUUAUCAAUCAUUCCAAUAUGCACAUGGCAUCGGUAGGACCAACCUAAAACACCCCCCACAACCGCCUCCCUCUCUGUUAAGAGGCCUAUGAGAAGAGAUUACUCAAGCUUCUUCUUUCCACUCCAACAUAGGCAAGAAUUCAACCUAUCUCAAACUACACACUAAGGAAAAAUGUCCCAUUUCCAUCAAUCCAAAACCCCAAGCCACCACUCUCCUAGACCCAGCAAGAAAAGGCUCGCCAGAGACCAACUUCAGAUCCUGGAAACAAGCUUCAAUGCCAAUCAGAAGCUCAAAGCUGAACUCAAGCUCAAGCUUGCCUGCCAACUAGGACUUCCUACAAGACAAGUUGCAAUCUGGUAUCAGAACAAAAGGGCCAGGCACAAAAUUGAAGCCAAAGAGCAUCAGUUUAAGAACAUCCAGCAAGAGCUAGGUAAUGUAUUAGCAGAAAAUAUUAGGCUUGAGAAAGAAGUUCGCACACUAAAAUAUGAGGUAAACAAGGCUCAAGAGAUGCUAGUGCUUGCAUCUAACCCACCCAUGAUGAUUCUCCUAUCAGGCUCAACAUCUGAUGAUGAUCAUGCAAACACACACUCACCAGGAAACAUGAAAUGUUGGCUAGAUCCCUGCAAGAUUCCAGGAGAGGAACAACACACUUACCUGACUGGUCCUCUCAACAUGCUAGAGAUGUACACUAACGACCAGGACCUCUUAGCAGAAUCAGUGAAACCUAAUCAUGGUACAAACUGUAGACUGUAACAUGUAGAAUUUCAAAUUUCAUGUCAAUGUGAAAUAAGUUUAUUCAAUGGUUCCACUAGCAGCUCAUAGUUCAUAUACAAAGAGCUAUUGCAAGGAUAAUGUUUCUAAGGCAUGCAGUUAUGACCUUAUGAUAUAAGCAGGAAUCUUGUAAGUUCACAACAUAAGAUUACAACCUAGAAUUUCAGGACAUCAACAUGGAUACAUACUAGAUAGUAGCAUCAAGUUCCUGACUCUGUACUGUGUCCAUCACACAUUUUUGUCACUCCUAGUUCAAAUUCUCAAUACUCAUUUCUGAUCCCCAUAAUUAGUUCUUGGGCCAAAUACCUUUAGGUUUAGAUUUAGGAACAUGCAUGCACUUGACAACUUCUCAUUUUCAUGGCCCUCUUCUAGGUCUUAAAUAACAAGCCUGGCUGGAUUUGUCAAUAAUUUUAGGCUGUUCCUAAGUCAAAAUGGGCCCCAUUUAAUAAGUUUCUUCCUUCAAAAAUGUAUAUAGAGGUAUAAUAAUAUUCAGUCAGUUUGGUAAGCCACACAGACACUUCUCACCUUGGUCCAAAAUUGUGACAACUUGGUCUGCAACUUGUGCAAGUAAAAAAAAUACAUAUAAUAAAAGCAGCAUUAUCCAAUCCAAGGCAAAAUUGAUAUCGUCACAAAUUGAAAUUACAUUUUUUUUCCAGAUGCUUACAGCUAAAUGACUGAAUUAUUAAAUGAACUGUCUUAUUAUUAAUAAAUGUUUAUAAAAACCAUCAAGCAGAACAAAUUUUAUUCUAAGAAACACAGGGCCUUAACAUGUGAACAGUUUAAAUUAAAAAUAAUUGUUAAAAUAUUUGCAGUUUGCUUGAUUUCAGAGCUUUGCCCAACUUGAGGUACUACUGAUCACGAGAAAACCUAACAAGAAUAAGAUCAUCCAGAAGAUAGAAAUGAAACCCACUUCUGAGGAAGAAAAUGGAUUACAUUGUUUGAUUCUUACCUCUAGAAUUAUACAGCAAAAGAUAAUAGUGGAAUCUACGCAAUAACCCUUAGCUAAAAACAAGACAUAUCCGCGGGCGGGCGGUCGAUAAAGGAAUUUGAACAGACCACUUGACUUCACAUUAUCUACCUCUAAUAUGAAAUUAUUCAAUGUAUCUGGAGGAACCAUGGCAACACCCACCAAUGAGAGACAGUGAUAUAAUGAUAUAUUUUGGCCCACAAUGGUUGGCUUUAUAUAGACAAUACACUUCUCCAAAAAGUGUGUAGCUAUGUCCUCUUCUUGCGAAAUAUAUACACGUCGGUCUCUUCGUACGCGUAUUCCGGAUGCAAAUCCUCGUGCGGGACCUUCUCGAUGUCAAAAACCUCUCUGGACAUUUCCCAAAACUUCUUAUCCGCCUCCGGCGACCUCAAUUGAUAUCCUAAGAGAACGACACCGUCGUCCGCCACCAGCGCUUCCAUCGCACCCACGAGCUGCCCCACAGACUCCUCAAUAUAAACCACAUCGGUGGCAAUCACGACAUCGAACGGCGGAUUCAACGCCUUGAUCUGAUCCUGAUUGUUCCAAUAGAGGAUGGAGGUCUUCAGCAUCUUUCCUAGGGUUUGCUUGUUCCGCUUCAGAUUAUGCUUCAGAGCGGGCAUGACCGGCGCAAUAUCGGUGAGGACGAGGUCAGUAAGACCGAGGAGGUAGAAUGCCAUGCCCGCGGCACCGCAGCCAACGCCGAGCUCGAUUGCGCGGCGGGGCUUGGAGCGGAAGUCGAGGAGGGCGGAGUAGGUAUUUGGGGCAGAAGCAGUGGUAGGUGGCGCCCAUCGGUCGGCGAAUUUGGCUAGGACGAGAGAACAGGGCCAGACGGAGGUGCCGACGUGCAUGGAGGCAUUGUCCUGUUGGAUGGAAAGGAGCUUGUCUCGUAUCUGAAGUUCGAUCACCGGUGAGUCGGUGAAUUUCAUUUUUUUUUUUUCCAGUUGGUUUCCGUUGACUGUUGUACUGUUUUUAUGCGUGGGAGAUUUGUGUUUGGG
rnacentral:misc_RNA from 1 species